GCGAUACUACUCGAACAGGUGCAACCUUCGAUUUGGCUGCCAACAAAUUUGCUGAAAUACCUCCACGCUUAUCAAUGACGCGAACAUAUACCGCCGCUCCGUAAGCUCUACAAGAGGCAUCUGCGAACCCAUACAGCUCAACUCUGUCUGCCGAUGCAUGGACGGCACUACAGCUCGUGGCAACGAACACUCAUGAACAAGUUCCAAUUCGCUUCUGUAUUUCUGCCAUUGUAGCGCAUAGCUUGGUGGCAACUCCUCAUCCCAUUGCUGCUUUAGCAACCACAGUUCUUGCAUGAAAAUCUUUCCUAAAAUCAAAAGGGGGCUUAGAAAUCCCAUUGGAUCAAACAACUGUGCUAACUCUGAUAACACGAUACGCUUCGUAAUGCUGUCCGAGUUACUUGCGACGUACGAAAAUUUAAACUUAUCAAUCCUCGAAGCCCAAAAUAUUCCAAGCGUCUUUGCUGUAUCUGUUACCUGUAGCUCUAACGGUUCUACUACGUCUGCACGAUCUCCAUCACAAUAGCUGUUAGAGCGCCACUUAUGAAGCUCGAAUCGCCCCAACUUUAACAACUCGGUAACUUCAUGUUUUAAUUCCUUUAGCUGCUCGUAAGAGCUCGCUCCAGCUAGCAUAUCAUCCAUGUAGAAGUUUUGCCUUACAGCUUCGCUAGCUAAUGGGAAUGAUUCCCCAAAUUGAUCCGCUAAAUAGUAAAGACAUCUAACUGCUAGAAAAGGUGCUGAAUUGGUUCCAUAGGUAACCGUUUUAAGGCGUAGUACCUUAAUUGGGUCAGUACUACAAUUACGCCAUAAAAUGCACAAAUAAUUGCAGUCGCUUGGCUCAACUGAUACUUGCCUAUACAUCUUAGAGAUGUCAGCAGUCAAUGCGAAUCGAUAAAACCGGAAUCGAGUAAGGGUCUCGAACCAAUUUUGGUUGCAACGUUGCUCCUACCAGCAUUGUAUCGUUUAACGCCAUUCGUUUAAGCCCAUUGCUUGAUUUACACGAUGCAUCAAAUACGACUCUCAACUUUGUCGUCAAACUUUCUGGGCGAAUCACCGGAUGAUGGGGCAUGAUAUAUUUCACCUCGUGUAUCUUAUCAGCCGCUACCUCCUCUAAAUGAUCCAAUUGUCUAUACUCAUCGAUAAAUUCUGCGUAAGCUCUCUUGAGCUCUGGAUUCUUACUGAACUUUCGUUCUAAGUUCAAAAACCUAGUCAAAGCGAUAUUACAGGAAUCCCCUAGCGACUUCUGUGGCUGUGCAAAAGGCAAGCGAACUACUAUACGAUUAUCGUCUGUUCGUUUCACUGUAGCCACGAACAUCUCUUCACAAAUCCUUUCCGAUUCUGUUAAUACUUUUCCGGGUCGCAACACCUCUUCGCAUUGCCAGAACUGUUGCACCAAAUUUUGCAACUGGUCAGCCUCCUGUUGCCUUGGACCAUCAGGUUUAUUCACAAUCAACGCUACAUUCUCGUCAGGAAUACACUCGCCC
rnacentral:lncRNA from 1 species